CAUCUGGGGGAUGGCUCGGCUUGGGCGCCGAGGAAGGUCGUGGCAAGCUGCGAUAAGCCUGGGCGAGGAGCAUGCAUCCUUGGAACCCAGGAUCGCCGAAUGGGACCUCCCAGUCCCCUGACAAUAAGGGGACUGCUCCCCCACGGGAGCGGGAACCCGCCGAACUGAAACAUCUUAGUAGGCGGAGGAAAAGAAAGCAACAUGCGAUGCCGUG
rnacentral:rRNA from 1 species